CCUACGGGAGGCAGCAGUGGGGAAUUUUGGACAAUGGGCGAAAGCCUGAUCCAGCAAUGCCGCGUGUGUGAAGAAGGCCUUCGGGUUGUAAAGCACUUUUGUCCGGAAAGAAAUCCCUGGCUCUAAUACAGCCGGGGGAUGACGGUACCGGAAGAAUAAGCACCGGCUAACUACGUGCCAGCAGCCGCGGUAAUACGUAGGGUGCAAGCGUUAAUCGGAAUUACUGGGCGUAAAGCGUGCGCAGGCGGUUUGUUAAGACCGAUGUGAAAUCCCCGGGCUCAACCUGGGAACUGCAUUGGUGACUGGCAAGCUAGAGUAUGGCAGAGGGGGGUAGAAUUCCACGUGUAGCAGUGAAAUGCGUAGAGAUGUGGAGGAAUACCGAUGGCGAAGGCAGCCCCCUGGGCCAAUACUGACGCUCAUGCACGAAAGCGUGGGGAGCAAACAGGAUUAGAUACCCUGGUAGUCCACGCUGUAAACGAUGUGUGCUGGAUGUUGGGUGACUUUGUCAUUCAGUGUCGAAGCUAACGCGCUAAGCACACCGCCUGGGGAGUACGGCCGCAAGGUUGAAACUUAAAGGAAUUGACGG
rnacentral:rRNA from 1 species